UUCUUCUCUCGGGUUCUUAACAACCUAUUCUUCUCUCAGCAAAAUCGGUAGAAAUCUUAGGGGUUUGUUUCAAUUGAUUGCGUUUGCGUUGUUUAUUUGGUAAUUUUUUGGUGACGAUUUGGCAGUGGGCGAGAUGGUGCUUGGCGGCAUAAUGAUUUGGUUGCUGUUGUGUUAUUGAUGGGGUUCUCGCUUGAAGUUGCUGGUGGCAACGGCUAUGGAGGUUGGAGGCCAACACCAGCAAAAAUGCAUAACAAGUGUUUGAUAGAAGUCCCAAAAGAAACAAAGAUGCCAAUUACUGCGAUGGAAAAAUUAGUGGUGAAGUUCGCAGCACACGAGUUACAGAUUCUAUUUCAGGGAUUCAAUUGUUGAACCAACUACCUUCGGCGAAAGAAUCCAUAGGAUGUUGAAGUUGGGUGUGAGCAUCGACGAAGAUAAUACUGACACAAGAGCUGACCUAGAGAUGCCCGAACUUGUUGAACAUGAUGCUAAGGGCAGCAAGAUGGAGGAGGUUGACGAAUCCCUUAAGCUUUGAGUUUCUGAUACGGACGCUCUCGACAUUCUCUUUAAUAUUAGCUUUAUUUUUACUUUCUUUUUAAUUUUCUUCCUUUUCUCUUUAGUUUCUGCCUUAGAAUUUUUUUUCUCCCUUUGAGUUUGUAGCCUUAGAAUUUUAGUAUUUUCUUUUAUUAAAAAAAUAGCAGGGGUCAAUUUUAGAAUGCCACGUGUCAAAGAAAUAGUGCCUUGUACACGGGCUGGAACAGAGUUAACUAGUAGCUGAAAUCGGCAAUUCAAUACA